rnacentral:rRNA from 1 species
GUGACUGCGUACCUUUUGUAUAAUGGGUCAGCGACUUAUAUUUAGUAGCAAGGUUAAGCGAAUAGCGGAGCCGUAGCGAAAGCGAGUGUUAACUGCGCGUUUAGUUGCUAGGUAUAGACCCGAAACCCGGUGAUCUAGCCAUGGGCAGGUUGAAGGUUGAGUAACAUCAACUGGAGGACCGAACCCACUAACGUUGAAAAGUUAGGGGAUGACUUGUGGCUGGGGGUGAAAGGCCAAUCAAACCGGGAGAUAGCUGGUUCUCCCCGAAAUCUAUUUAGGUAGAGCCUCGGACGAAUUCCAUUGGGGGUAGAGCACUGUUAAGGCUAGGGGGUCAUCCCGACUUACCAACCCUUUGCAAACUCCGAAUACCAAUGAGAACUAUCCGGGAGACACACGGCGGGUGCUAACGUCCGUCGUGAAGAGGGAAACAACCCAGACCGCCAGCUAAGGUCCCAAAAUAUUGCUAAGUGGGAAACGAUGUGGGAAGGCAUAGACAGCUAGGAGGUUGGCUUAGAAGCAGCCACCCUUUAAAGAAAGCGUAAUAGCUCACUAGUCGAGUCGGCCUGCGCGGAAGAUGUAACGGGGCUAAGCAAUAUACCGAAGCUGCGGAUACGUGUUUACACGUAUGGUAGGGGAGCGUUGUGUAAGUGGAUGAAGGUGGAUUGAGAAGUCUGCUGGACAUAUCACAAGUGCGAAUGCUGACAUGAGUAACGAUAAUGGGAGUGAAAAACUCCCACGCCGGAAGACCAAGGUUUCCUGUCCCAUGCUAAUCAGGGCAGGGUAAGUCGGCCCCUAAGGCGAGGCAGAAAUGCGUAGUCGAUGGGAAACGGAUUAAUAUUUCCGUACUUAUAUAAUCAGUGAUGGAGGGACGGAGAAGGCUAAGCAAGCUUGGCGUUGGUUGUCCAAGUGAAAGCAAGUAGGCCGAGUGUUUAGGUAAAUCCGGACGCUUAAAGCUGAGAUGCGAGACGAGCUACUACGGUAGUGAAGUUGUUGAUGCCCUGCUUCCAGGAAAAGCUUCUAAACUUAUGAUUAUAU